UCUGUUGCUGGGUCGCCUGUAGCAGA
rfam:Tatumella morbirosei strain LMG 23360 Contig3, whole genome shotgun sequence.